AUUGAACGCUGGCGGCAGGCCUAACACAUGCAAGUCGAACGAGUGGCGGACGGGUGAGUAAUUUCUUGGAACCUGCCCGAUGGAGGGGUCUACCUACUGUAAACGGUAGCUAAUACUGCAUACCCUCGUCUGUGCCCUGAUGGGUUUAGCUAGUAGGUGGGGUAACGGCUCACCUAGGCGACGCUCCCUAGCUGGUCUGAGAGGAUGACCAGCCACACUGGAACGGAGACACGGUCCAGACUCCUACGGGAGGCAGCAGUGGGGAAUAUUGCACAAUGGGCGCAAGCCUGAUGCAGCCAUGCCGCGUGUAUGAAGAAGGCCUUCGGGUUGUAAAGUACUUUCAGCGAGGAGGCGUUACUCGCAGAAGAAGCACCGGCUAACUCCGUGCCAGCAGCCGCGGUAAUUC
rnacentral:rRNA from 1 species